rnacentral:ncRNA from 19 species
CACUCAUCACGAGGGGUGGAGGGAACGGCCCGCUGAUACCCCAGCAACCAGUCGGUCUUCGACCAGGUGCUACGUCCGUCCCGGAGUCCGCUCCGGGGAAGAUGACCU